AUGGGGAGGCAGGUGGCCUGGCUGUGCCUCCUCCUGCUCUUCUUGCUGUCCUGGCAGGGCGGUGCCUGCAGGUCUGGUGGGUGCUGUUUUCAGGACCCGUCUUAUCCGGAUACAAACCCAGGCUCCACCUCGGGCCCCCAGGACUUGAGCUGCUACCGAGUGUUCAACAACGCAGGUCACUACGAGUGCUCCUGGAGCUACGACGGCCCCCAGGUGGCGGUCAGCCACUUCCUGUGGUGCUGCUUUGGCAACAGGUCCUGCUGCUACUUCCCCGCGGGCCCGGCCACCCGGCUGCAGUUCUCCGACCAGGACGGGGUGCCUGUGCUCAGCAACGUCACGCUCUGGGUGGAGUCCCAGGCCGCCAACCGGACGGAGAAGUCGCCUGCGGUCACCCUACGGCUGCACGAAUGGGGUCAGCGCCUCGCCCCGCCCCGCGGCCUCCCACGCCCCAGCCUCACCCCUUCCCGCGCGGUGGCUUCCCCUGCUCCUGGCCGCCGAGCUGCUGGGCCCUGCUGGGCGUCCGUGCUGACUCAGCAGGUCUGCAGCUCCUGGCCUGGGGCUGUGGGGUGCGGGUGGGGGCGGGGAUGUGGGCAAAGCCCUGGAGGUUGCAGCCCAGCCGGGGAAGCCCCACUUUGGGCACCAAAAAGUGAGUCGAUAGGAACAAUAUUGUACUGGAACACAAUUGCUUUAUGUAUUUAUUUUUGGUCUUUUGAGACAGGUUCUCCCUAUGUAGCCCAGGCUGGCCUUGAACUUGUGGCCAUCCUCCUGCAUCAGCAUCCCAAGUGCUGGGGUCACAGGCCUGCACCACCACGUCCGGGUUCCACUGCAAUAGAUCUAUGUGUUUUUCUUCAGGGGAGCUGGGGAUAAGAGCCAGGGCCUCGCAUGCACCUGGCAAAUGCUCACCCCCCAGCUGCACUUCCAGUCCAUAAUACAAUAUUUGUUUCAAACAAUUUAAAUUGAAGCCUCCCCCCAAAAUCCAUGGCCAGCAAAAUAUUGAUGUGUCACCCAAAGCUGAGCACCGUGGUGUAUACCCGCAAUCCCAGCUCCGGAAAUGUGGUGAGACCCUGUCUCAAAAUAAAAUGCAUAAAAAGGGCUGGGGCUGGGGCUCAGCGGCAGAGCGCCUGUCUAGCAUGCAUGAGGCCCCAGGUUCCAUCCCCAGCACCGCGAAGGAGAAGAAAAUGUUUGAGUACAUAGCAACAAAACAGCCAGGUGGUUACCAGGGGCAGGGUUGGGGAGGAAACGGAGAUGAAGGCCAAGCAUACAAACUUGCAGGGGUGUAGUAUAAGAGGAUCUAGAGAUCUGAUGAGAGUAGAUCUGUUCAGGUAACUACAAGAGGGGGUGGGUGUGUUUCAUAGCUUCCUAGAGUAGUCAUUUUGCUGUCACUGUGCAUAUCAGUGCACCGGGUCAUACACUUUGUACAAUAUGGAGGAGGAGGUCAGGUACGGGGUGAUCAAGAUGCAGCCAGCGCGUUUGUCUCUCAGUCAAGCUCCUUGCAAUGGGUCUGGCUUAGAUUUCCAAAAAAUACUCAAUUACCUGCUGGCCAGCAGUUUAUAGGAGUCCCUGUCUUGGGACAGCUCUCUGGCCAUGGGAAUUAAUAUUGUAAAGGCAUUUGCACCUCCAGGAGCCUGUGUACAAAUCCUCUUCCUCGACCCUUUUUAUUUUUUUCACUCAGUACUAGGGAUUGAACCCAGGGCCUUCACACUGACCUACAUCCCCAGCCCUUUUCUUUCUUUCUUUUUUUUUGGCACCAGGGAUCGAACUCAGAUCCUUGUGCUUGCAAGGCAAGUGGCGGAACCACUGAGCUAACUCCCUGGCCCUUCUUUCUUUUUUUUAAAUUUUGAGAUGAGGUCUUGCUAAAUUGCCUGGGCUGGACUUGAAAAAUGGGACCCUCCUGCUACAGUCUCCCAAGUGGCUGAGGUCACAGGUGUACCCCUGGCUUCUCUUGACUGAAUCACAGAGUUCUAGGCUCAGCUGGGACCUGCCACGGCGCCCUGACUCUCGUUUGGGGACACAAGUGGCUCCCCUGGGCCAGAAGGGACUGGGCAGAAUUCCCAGCUGCCCCUCCCAGUGUCCCCUCUGCUUCCAGUGCGAUACGACCCCCCGCCAAGAGCGGCCAGGACGUCCGUGUCCCGCGGGCAGCUGAGGAUGGAGUGGGAGACCCCCAAGAACAGCGUCCAGCUGCAGUUCCGCCGCCGCAAGCCCGGCGGUUCGUGGGAGUUGGUGAGUUUGUUUCCUGGGUCAAAGGGGCACCCAUCUCCUCAGCUGCACCCCACGUGCGGGCCCCCAGGUCUCUGGGGCACGCGGCUCCGACUGGGACCUUUCCUGGUCUUGAACCCUCUGUGGCUCCCCGAUACCCAAGGCAGCAGCGGGUCCUCAGCCUUGCGCUCCCGCUGACCCUGCCGUCUCCCGUCCCGACCCCCCUGGGCCAGGGUCACACCCCUUGCUGCAGCCGCA
rnacentral:lncRNA from 1 species